UCAAGACAUAAACAAGAUGAGAGAAAGGGAGCAGGGAAAACUGCAUGUUACAGUGGGGAGCUAUCCCUGACUAAAGCCUGCAGAACUAGGCUGUCAGCUAUUUAGGACAUUUGACAUAACCGGAGGGGCAGAAUAUUGCAAAGAAAAGUAUGACCAAAAUCUCAACAGCUGUGGAGCUGGACAGUAUUUGUAUUCUAUUCUUGGUCAUGAAACAUUUACACAAGUCUCUAAGGGCUGUAUCUUGAAGAUGAGAAUCACAUCUGCCAGCACCCUUCUGGCUGCAGAAUACUAUUUUAUAUGCACAGCUACUUCCUCUUCCUCUCAUGGUAAGCGGACACAUAGGAAUAAGGUUUUUUAGUGGAGAUUUGGAAGAUUUGUAUUCAUCCUAAGUGAACUGGUGACAUUUAGUAUUUUCCAGUGACUAAAAUCGGCAUUAACCAUGUGCUGUAAACUAAGUGCUGCAAUAACAACAAAACCUUCAGUUAAGUCCCAGCUGUGCCUAUACUGCAACUAUGUAUCCUUUACUAUGUUCCCUCUCAGUUCUGGAACUCUAUAUUCCUCCAUAAAAAGCCAAUAGGAAAAGUGUAUGUAUUUAUGUAUGAAAUGUAAAACUCUAACUCGCAAUGCCACACUUAUCUCUAGGAACAGGAAACUUGGCACAGCUAUGGAAAUAAAGAAUGGAGAGACCAAACCAAAGUUAAUAAUGGAACAGCAUGAAAGGCUACACUAUUUGGUUUAUUCCUUUGAAAUAUUAUGAAUGGGCUGUGUAGAAGACCUGCACCUAAAUGAUAUUGUAUUUUAACAUUUCUAUCCUCCUCCUGCCAAAAUGGAGCACUUUAAGAUUUCUGACUUAUUAAAAUUAUA